rnacentral:rRNA from 1 species
UCGAGAAUAUUCCACAAUGGGCGAAAGCCUGAUGGAGCGACGCCGCGUGCAGGAUGAAGGUUUUCGGAUCGUAAACUGCUUUUCUACAGGAGGAAAAUGGGUUUAUCCCAUCUGACGUUACUGUAGGAAUAAGAGGUUGCUAACUCUGUGCCAGCAGCAGCGGUAAUACAGAGACCUCGAGCGUUAUCCGGAUUUAUUGGGCGUAAAGGGCGCGUAGGAAUCUUGUCGCAUCUUUGGUUAAACCCCGGGGCCUAACCCCGGAACUGCCAAAGAGAUGGACUUGAUAGAGGAUGUCAGAGGUAAGCGGAACGCACGGUGUAAGGGUGAAAUCUGUUGAUAUCGUGCGGAACACCAGAGGCGAAGGCGGCUUACUGGGGCAUUCCUGACUCUGAGGCGCGAAAGCGUGGGGAGCAAAAAGG